GAUCAAGUGUCUUAAGGGCAAUUGGUGGAUGCCUUGGCAUGCACAGGCGAUGAAGGACGUGAUACGCUGCGAUAAGCUACGGGGAGGUGCGAAUACCCUUUGAUCCGUAGAUUUCCGAAUGGGGAAACCCACCUAAGGUGCUUGGAAAAUCAGAGUAGCAGGGCAACCUGCUGCUGUGGUUUCCAAGUAUCGAUAAUAGGUAACUUACCCUGAAUAAAAUAGGGGUAAAGUGGCGAACGCGGGGAACUGAAACAUCUAAGUACCCGUAGGAAAGGACAUCAACCGAGACUCCGGCAGUAGUGGCGAGCGAACCCGGACCAGGCCAGUGGCGAUGAUGAGACAAGCGGAACCUUCUGGAAAGUAGGGCCAUAGUGGGUGACAGCCCCGUACGCGUAAUGCAAAUCAUCGUCCUCGAGUAAGGCGGGACACGUGAAAUCCUGUCUGAAAUUGGGGGGACCACCCUCCAAGCCUAAGUACUCGUGCAUGACCGAUAGCGAACUAGUACCGUGAGGGAAAGGUGAAAAGCACCCCGACAAGGGGAGUGAAAGAGUACCUGAAACCGAUUGCCUACAAACAGUGGGAGUCCAAGGUUCGUCCUGGGUGACCACGUACCUUUUGUAUAAUGGGUCAGCGACUUAGUGUGACGAGCAAGCUUAAACCGCUAGGUGUAGGCGCAGCGAAAGCGAGUCUGAACAGGGCGUUCAGUUCGUCGCAUUAGACCCGAAACCGAGUGAUCUAGCCAUGAGCAGGUUGAAGGUAAGGUAACACUUACUGGAGGACCGAACCCAUAACUGUUGCAAUAGUUCGGGAUGACUUGUGGCUAGGGGUGAAAGGCCAAUCAAACUCGGAAAUAGCUGGUUCUCCGCGAAAUCUAUUUAGGUAGAGCGUCGACCGAAUACCCCAGGGGGUAGAGCACUGGAUGGGCUAGGGGUCCUCACCGGAUUACCAAACCUAACCAAACUCCGAAUACCUGGGAGUACUAGUCGGCAGACACACGGCGGGUGCUAACGUCCGUCGUGAAAAGGGAAACAACCCUGACCUACAGCUAAGGUCCCCAAGUUAUGGCUAAGUGGGAAAGGAUGUGAGGAUCCCAAAACAACCAGGAUGUUGGCUUAGAAGCAGCCAUCAUUUAAAGAAAGCGUAACAGCUCACUGGUCUAAAUAAGGGUCUUUGCGCCGAAAAUGUAACGGGGCUCAAGCCAUACACCGAAGCUUAGGGUUCGUANNNNNNNNNNNNNNNNNNNNNNNNNNNNNNNNNNNNNNNNNNNNNNNNNNNNNNNNNNNNNNNNNNNNNNNNNNNNNNNNNNNNNNNNNNNNNNNNNNCGGGCUGCUGCGUGGUUCCAGGAAAUAGCUCCUCCUUAUAGACCGUACCCGAAACCGACACUGGUGGACUGGUAGAGUAUACCAAGGCGCUUGAGAGAACUAUGCUGAAGGAACUCGGCAAAUUGCACGCGUAACUUCGGAAGAAGCGUGACCCUUUUCCACGCAAGUGGAGGAGGGUGGCACAGACCAGGGGGUAGCGACUGUUUAUCAAAAACACAGGGCUCUGCGAAGUCGCAAGACGACGUAUAGGGUCUGACGCCUGCCCGGUGCUGGAAGGUUAAGAGGAGGGGUGCAAGCUCUGAAUCGAAGCCCCAGUAAACGGCGGCCGUAACUAUAACGGUCCUAAGGUAGCGAAAUUCCUUGUCGGGUAAGUUCCGACCUGCACGAAUGGCGUAACGACUUCCCCGCUGUCUCCAGCAUAGACUCAGUGAAAUUGAAUUCCCCGUGAAGAUGCGGGGUUCCUGCGGUUAGACGGAAAGACCCCGUGCACCUUUACUAUAGCUUUACAUUGGCAUUCGUAGUGGCAUGUGUAGGAUAGGUGGUAGGCUUUGAAACCUGGGCGCCAGCUCAGGUGGAGCCACCCUUGAAAUACCACCCUUAUCACUAUGGAUGUCUAACCGCGGCCCGUUAUCCGGGUCCGGGACAAUGUAUGGUGGGUAGUUUGACUGGGGCGGUCGCCUCCUAAAGAGUAACGGAGGCGCGCGAUGGUGGGCUCAGAACGGUCGGAAAUCGUUCGCUGAGUGCAAUGGCAUAAGCCUGCCUGACUGCGAGACUGACAAGUCGAGCAGAGACGAAAGUCGGUCAUAGUGAUCCGGUGGUCCCGCGUGGAAGGGCCAUCGCUCAACGGAUAAAAGGUACGCCGGGGAUAACAGGCUGAUGACCCCCAAGAGUCCAUAUCGACGGGGUUGUUUGGCACCUCGAUGUCGACUCAUCGCAUCCUGGGGCUGGAGCAGGUCCCAAGGGUAUGGCUGUUCGCCAUUUAAAGCGGUACGUGAGUUGGGUUCAGAACGUCGUGAGACAGUUCGGUCCCUAUCUGCCGUGGGUGUAGGAAUAUUGAAAGGAUCUGUCCCUAGUACGAGAGGACCGGGAUGGACGGAUCUCUGGUGGACCUGUUGUGGCGCCAGCCGCAUAGCAGGGUAGCUAUAUCCGGACGGGAUAACCGCUGAAGGCAUCUAAGCGGGAAACCCACCUUAAAACGAGUAUUCCCUGAGAACCGUGGAAGACGACCACGUUGAUAGGCCGGGUGUGGAAGAGCGGCAACGCUUGAAGCUUACCGGUACUAAUAGUUCGAUCGGCUUGAUCGUUCUCAUU
rnacentral:rRNA from 1 species